GCAAGUCGAGCGCACCUUCGGGUGAGCGGCGGACGGGUUAGUAACGCGUGGGAAUAUACCCUUCUCUAAGGAAUAGCCUCGGGAAACUGAGAGUAAUACCGUAUACGCCCCUCGGGGGAAAGAUUUAUCGGUGAAGGAUUGGCCCGCGUUGGAUUAGAUAGUUGGUGGGGUAACGGCCUACCAAGUCGACGAUCCAUAGCUGGUUUGAGAGGAUGAUC
rnacentral:rRNA from 1 species